CCUACGGGAGGCAGCAGUGAGGAAUAUUGGUCAAUGGACGAGAGUCUGAACCAGCCAAGUAGCGUGAAGGAUGACUGCCCUACGGGUUGUAAACUUCUUUUAUAUGGGAAUAAAACGUUCCACGUGUGGGAUUUUGUAUGUAUCAUAUGAAAAAGGAUCGGCGAACUCCGUGCCAGCAGCCGCGGUAAUACGGAGGAUCCGAGCGUUAUCCGGAUUUAUUGGGUUUAAAGGGAGCGUAGGUGGAUUGUUAAGUCAGUUGUGAAAGUUUGCGGCUCAACCGUAAAAUUGCAGUUGAAACUGGCAGUCUUGAGUACAGUAGAGGUGGGCGGAAUUCGUGGUGUAGCGGUGAAAUGCUUAGAUAUCACGAAGAACUCCGAUUGCGAAGGCAGUUCACUGGACUGCAACUGACACUGAGGCUCGAAAGUGUGGGUAUCAAACAGGAUUAGAUACCCGGGUAGUC
rnacentral:rRNA from 1 species